GCGGGCGGCGACGGAGCCGGGAUCGGUGCCUCAGCGUUCGGGCUGGAGACGAGGCCAGGUCUCCAGCUGGGGUGGAUGUGCCCACCAGCUGCCGAAGGCCAGGACGCCAGGUCCGGUGGACGUGCCAAGCGGGACAUGACAUGGUCCGGUGUGACGGCGAGGACAGAGGAGGCGCGUCUGGCCUUCCUGAACACCUUAGGCUGGUGGGGCUGCGGCGAGAAGCGGGUCUGUUUCUUUACUUCCUCCACGGAGUCGGCACACUACGGCUGCCCUCUGGGCUCCCAGAACCCACAACAUGAAAGGUGCGGGGCUUCCUGCCACACCUGGGGUGGGGGGCACGCGAGAGGAGCUGAGUGGGACCUCACUCCUUCCCCAUCCACAGAAAUGGUGCUACCCAGCUCAAGCCUGGGCCUUUGAAUCCGGACACAAAACCCUCUAGCUUGGAAAGGAAUAUGCUGCACUUUACAACCACUGCACUACCUGACUCAGGAAUCGGCUCUGGAAGGUGAAGCUAGAGGAACGAGACCUCAUCAACCCAACACCAAAGACACCAUCGGAACAGCAGCGCCCGCAGCACCCACCCCCCACCGGCAACUCCAUCUUCAUGGCCACCCCCUGCGGCGGACGGUUGACCACCAGCCACCACGUCAUCCCAGAGCUGAGCUCCUCCAGCGGGAUGACCCCGUCCCCACCACCUCCCUCUUCUUCUUUUUCAUCCUUCUGUCUCUUUGUUUCUGAGCUUUCCUGUCUUUCCUUUUUCUGAGAGAUUCAAAGCCUCCACGACUCUGUUUCCCCCGUCCCUUCUGAAUUUAAUUUGCACUAAGUCAUUUGCACUGGUUGGAGUUGUGGAGACGGCCUUG
rnacentral:sRNA from 1 species